rnacentral:rRNA from 1 species
UUAGACGGGGCCCGCACAAGCGGUGGAGCAUGUGGUUUAAUUCGAUGCAACGCGAAGAACCUUACCAGGUCUUGACAUCCGAUGCUAUUUCUAGAGAUAGAAAGUUACUUCGGUACAUCGGUGACAGGUGGUGCAUGGUUGUCGUCAGCUCGUGUCGUGAGAUGUUGGGUUAAGUCCCGCAACGAGCGCAACCCCUAUUGUUAGUUGCCAUCAUUCAGUUGGGCACUCUAGCGAGACUGCCGGUAAUAAACCGGAGGAAGGUGGGGAUGACGUCAAAUCAUCAUGCCCCUUAUGACCUGGGCUACACACGUGCUACAAUGGUUGGUACAACGAGUUGCGAGUCGGUGACGGCGAGCUAAUCUCUUAAAGCCAAUCUCAGUUCGGAUUGUAGGCUGCAACUCGCCUACAUGAAGUCGGAAUCGCUAGUAAUCGCGGAUCAGCACGCCGCGGUGAAUACGUUCCCGGGCCUU